rnacentral:rRNA from 1 species
AAAUUUUAAUGUAAACUUAAAUGUUAAUCUGCAGAGGUACAGCUCUGCAGAACAAGACUACAACCUUAAUUAGUGAGUAAAUCUAUUCAACAAUCAUAGUUGGCCUAAAAGCAGCCAUCAAUUAAGAAAGCGUUCAAGCUCAACAACUAAAUUCAGAUUUAAUUCAAAAAAAUAAUAUAACCUCCUAAUUAUAGCACUGGAUCAUUCUACCUACCUGUAGAAGAGAUACUGUUAAUAUGAGUAACAAGAUCUUAUAUCUCCUUACACACGUGUAUAUCAGCCCGAAUUCCUACUGAUAGUUAACAAUUAGAUAAAUUCAUACACUUAAUUAAUAAUUUACCAUCAUAUUGUUAAUCCAACACUGGAGUGUAUGCAAGGAAAGAUUAAAAAAAGUAAAAGGAACUCGGCAAACAUAAACCCCGCCUGUUUACCAAAAACAUCACCUCUAGCAUUACCAGUAUUAGAGGCACUGCCUGCCCAGUGACAUUAGUUUAACGGCCGCGGUAUCCUGACCGUGCAAAGGUAGCAUAAUCAUUUGUUCCCUAAUUAGGGACUCGUAUGAAUGGCCCCACGAGGGUUUAACUGUCUCUUACUUUCAAUCAGUGAAAUUGACCUUCCCGUGAAGAGGCGGGAAUAAGAAAAUAAGACGAGAAGACCCUAUGGAGCUUAAAUUAGAUAGUCCAACAAAAUCCAAACUUAAUCCAACAGGAAAUAAUAAUAUUUUAACUGGACAACAAAUUUUGGUUGGGGUGACCUCGGAGUAUAAUAAAACCCCCGAGCUAUUUUUCCAAGACUUACCCGUCAAGGUAGUUUAAUUUAUUGAUCCAAUCAUAUUGAUCAACGAAACAAGUUACCCUAGGGAUAACAGCGCAAUCCUAUUUAAGAGUCCAUAUCGACAAUAGGGUUUACGACCUCGAUGUUGGAUCAGGACCCCCAAAUGGUGCAGCAGCUAUUAAAGGUUCGUUU